UUUAACUGAAGAGUUUGAUCAUGGCUCAGAUUGAACGCUGGCGGCAGGCUUAACACAUGCAAGUCGAGCGGAGAGAGGUAGCUUGCUACUGAUCUUAGCGGCGGACGGGUGAGUAAUGCUUAGGAAUCUGCCUAUUAGUGGGGGACAACAUUUCGAAAGGAAUGCUAAUACC
rnacentral:rRNA from 1 species